rnacentral:rRNA from 1 species
GACGAACGCUGGCGGCGCGCUUAACACAUGCAAGUCGAGCGCCCCGCAAGGGGAGCGGCAGACGGGAGAGUAACACGUGGGAACGUACCCUUUGGUUCGGAACAACCCAGGGAAACUUGGGCUAAUACCGGAUAAGCCCUUACGGGGAAAGAUUCAUCGCCGAAGGAUCGGCCCGCGUCUGAUUAGCUAGUUGGUGGGGUAACGGCCCACCAAGGCGACGAUCAGUAGCUGGUCUGAGAGGAUGAUCAGCCUCACUGGGACUGAGACACGGCCCAGACUCCUACGGGAGGCAGCAGUGGGGAAUAUUGGACAAUGGGCGCAAGCCUGAUCCAGCCAUGCCGCGUGGGUGAUGAAGGCCCUAGGGUUGUAAAGCCCUUUCGGCGGGGAAGAUAAUGACGGUACCCGCAGAAGAAGCCCCGGCUAACUUCGUGC